UACGGAGGGGGCUAGCGUUGUUCGGAAUUACUGGGCGUAAAGCGCACGUAGGCGGUCGUUCAAGUCGAGUGUGAAAGCCCCCGGCUCAACUGGGGAGGGUCACUCGAUACUGAUCGACUCGAAGGCAGGAGAGGGUAGUGGAAUUCCCGGUGUAGUGGUGAAAUGCGUAGAUAUCGGGAGGAACACCAGUGGCGAAGGCGACUACCUGGCCUGUUCUUGACGCUGAGGCGCGAAAGCUAGGGGAGCAAACGGG
rnacentral:rRNA from 1 species